CUGGCGGCGUGCCUAAUACAUGCAAGUCGAACGAACGCUGAAAGACUUGCUUUCAGAGUUAGUAGGCGAACGGUGGGUAACGCGUAAGUAACCUAGCUAUUAGACGAGGAUAACUACUGAAACGGUAGCUAAGACUGGAUAGGAUAGAAAUAUUUAAAGGAUGCUUAGGCAUCGCUAAUAGAGGGGCUUGCGGCGCAUUAGCUAGUUGGUAGGUAAAAGCCAACCAAGGCGAUGAUGCGUAGCCGACCUGAGAGGGUGACCGGCCGCACUGGGACUGAGACACGGCCCAGACUCCUACGGGAGGCAGCAGUAGGGAAUCUUCGGCAAUGGACGAAAGUCUGACCGAGCAACGCCGCCGUGAGUGAAGAAAGUUUUCGGAUUGUAAAGCUCUGUUAUUAGGGAAGAAAGGCUCUAGGAGGAAAUGCUUAGGGAUUGACGGUACCUAAUGAGGAAGCCACGGCUAACUACGUGCCAGCCGCCGC
rnacentral:rRNA from 1 species